rnacentral:rRNA from 1 species
CCAUGCAUGUCUCAGUUCAGGCCCUAGUACGGUGAAACCGCGAAUGGCUCAUUAAAUCAGCUAUGGUUUAUUGGAUCGUACCCGUUAAAUGGAUAACUGUAAUAACUCUAGAGCUAAUACAUGCCUCGAUGCCCUGACUCUGUCGGCUUGCUGCUUGCCUGUGGGUAGGUGGUGGCAGGCAGGGUGUGGGUGCACUUAUUAGAUCAGAAGCCAACCAACUGCUCGUGCGUUGCGUGUGCAGCCGACUGCUGUAGGCGUGCGUGCGUGCGUGCGUGCGAGUGUUGAGAGGAGACCGCUUCUGGUGACUCUGGAUAAUUGUUACAGAUCGCAGUCGGCCUUGAGUCGGCGACGGGUCCUUCAAAUGUCUGCCCUAUCAACUGUCGAUGGUAGGUGACCUGCCUACCAUGGUGAUAACGGGUAACGGGGAAUCAGGGUUCGAUUCCGGAGAGGGAGCCUGAGAAACGGCUACCACUUCCAAGGGAGGCAGCAGGCGCGCAAAUUACCCACUCCCGGCACGGGGAGGUGGUGACGAAAAAUACCGAUGCGGGACUCCCUCAAGAGG